UCCAUUUAAGGCUUGAAGUGCAAGCGAGA
rnacentral:sRNA from 1 species